GCGCGAUUGGAGCGGCCGAUAUCGGAUUAGCUAGUUGGUGAGGUAAAGGCUCACCAAGGCGACGAUCCGUAGCUGGUCUGAGAGGACGACCAGCCACACUGGAACUGAGACACGGUCCAGACUCCUACGGGAGGCAGCAGUGGGGAAUUUUGGACAAUGGGGGCAACCCUGAUCCAGCCAUUCCGCGUGAGUGAAGAAGGCCCUCGGGUUGUAAAGCUCUUUCGGCAGGAACGAAGCGGUGGUCCUUAAUACGGGCUACUAAUGACGGUACCUGAAGAAGAAGCACCGGCUAACUACGUGCCAGCAGCCGCGGUAAUACGUAGGGUGCGAGCGUUAAUCGGAAUUACUGGGCGUAAAGCGUGCGCAGGCGGUUAUGUAAGACAGGUGUGAAAUCCCCGGGCUUAACCUGGGAACUGCGCUUGUGACUGCAUAACUCGAGUGUGGCAGAGGGGGGUGGAAUUCCACGUGUAGCAGUGAAAUGCGUAGAGAUGUGGAGGAACACCGAUGGCGAAGGCAGCCCCCUGGGUCAACACUGACGCUCAUGCACGAAAGCGUGGGGAGCAAACAGGAUUAGAUACCCUGGUAGUACACGCCCUAAACGAUGCGAACUAGGUGUUGGGGAAGGAGACUUUCUUAGUACCGCAGCUAACGCGUGAAGUUCGCCGCCUGGGAGUACGGUCGCAAGAUUAAAACUCAAAGGAAUUGACGGGGACCCGCACAAGCUGUGGAUGAUGUGGAUUAAUUCGAUGCAACGCGAAAAACCUUACCUACCCUUGACAUGUCAGGAAGUCUGCUGAGAGGUGGAUGUGCCCGAAAGGGAACCUGAACACAGGUGCUGCAUGGCUGUCGUCAGCUCGUGUCGUGAGAUGUUGGGUUAAGUCCCGCAACGAGCGCAACCCUUGUCAUUAAUUGCCAUCACUCAGUUGGGCACUUUAAUGAGACUGCCGGUGACAAACCGGAGGAAGGUGGGGAUGACGUCGAGUCCUCAUGGCCCUUAUGGGUAGGGCUUCACACGUCAUACAAUGGUCGGUACAGAGGGUCGCCAACCCGCGAGGGGGAGCCAAUCCCACAAAGCCGAUCGUAGUCCGGAUCGCAGUCUGCAACUCGACUGCGUGAAGUCGGAAUCGCUAGUAAUCGUGGAUCAGCAUGUCACGGUGAAUACGUUCCCGGGUCUUGUACACACCGCCCGUCACACCAUGGGAGUGGGUUCCACCAGAAGUAGGUAGUCUAACCGCAAGGAGGGCGCUUACCACGGUGGGAUUCAUGACU
rnacentral:rRNA from 1 species